AUACGUAGGUGACAAGCGUUAUCCGGAUUUACUGGGCGUAAAGGGCGUGUAGGCGGUCUUGCAAGUCAGAAGUGAAAUUCCUGAGCUCAACUCGGGCGCUGCUUCUGAAACUGCAGGACUUGAGUGCUGGAGGGGAUAGCGGAAUUCCUAGUGGAGCGGUAAAAUGCGCAGAAAUUAGGAAGAACACCGGUGGCGAAGGCGGCUUUCUGGACAGUAACUGACGCUGAGGCGCGAAAGCGUGGGGAGCAAACAGGAUUAGAUCCCCGGGUAGUCCACGCCGUAAACGAUGAAUACUAGGUGUAGGGGGUAUCGACUCCCUCUGUGCCGCAGUUAACACAAUAAGUAUUCCGCCUGGGGAGUACGGCCGCAAGGUUGAAACUCAAAUGAAUUGGCGGGG
rnacentral:rRNA from 1 species